rnacentral:rRNA from 1 species
UACGAGGGGUGCAAGCGUUGCUCGGAAUUAUUGGGCGUAAAGGGUAGGUAGGUGGUCUCGUUUGUCUGGGGUGAAAGCCUUGAGCUUAACUCAAGAAGUGCCCUAGAAACGGCGAGACUAGAGUCUUGGAGAGGGUCGUGGAAUUCCCGGUGUAGCGGUGAAAUGCGUAGAGAUCGGGAGGAACACCGGUGGCGAAGGCGGCUUCCUGGACCGAUACUGACGCUGAGGCGCGAAAGCUAGGGGAGCAAACGGG